rnacentral:rRNA from 1 species
UACGGGAGGCACCAGUGGGGAAUAUUGCCCAAUGGGCGCAAGCNUGAUGAGCCAUGCCGCGUGUAUGAAGAAGGCCUUCGGGUUGUAAAGUACUUUCAGCAGAGGAAGGAAGGUGAUGUCGGAUUAAUAACCGCAGCAAUUGACGUUACUCGCAGAAGAAGGCACCGGCUAA